rnacentral:lncRNA from 1 species
UCCCAUACUUGUUUCGUAGGUGACCGUUUCGUAGGGGACGUAUUCACAUGUUUUAUUUUUUUUCCACAAUCCCUCUAUUGCAAAAGUAACAAGACUGAUUGUAAUCAUCAAAGCAUGUAUUAAGCUGUACACUGAUAUUUUUUUCAUAAUUUUAAAACCAGAUACUGAUGGAGAUUUGACCCGUUUCGUAGUGGACAUUUACAAAAAUACGGUAUCACUCUGGUCCAUUUGAUGUGCUCAAUUUUUUUUACCAACAAUUUAAUUGCCGUUAUAAAAGCAUCACUUCUUUUGUAAGACCCUAAUGUUUAUAUCUCUUGCAAACAAAAAUUACAUUGAUUUUAUAAAACGGUUUAUUAGCAAAUUUUAAUGACUUCGUUUCGUAGUGGACAUUUUGUUAGGGACACACCUUCUGAAAUUAAAAAUCCUUUGUUAAAAGCUGUUUAUUAUAAUAUGUUGGCUUUAAACAUACUUUUGAAUUAUUAAAGAACUUAUAUUAAGUAAAAAAUAACAUUUAUUUCUACAUUUUUUUACGAUAUUUUAGAGUAUGAAUGUUGAACAGGCGGUCUAGGGACAUGCCAUUUUGGUUGUUUUGGACCAUUCAGGAAUCAAUAAAUUAGCAAUCCCUUUAAAAAAUUAACUGUUUCUUUGCUUAAAAAUGUUAAAUCUAAUUCAAUGUACUGACGGCACAAAAAAUUACUUGCAAAGACCAAACACAUUUUUUUUUAAAGUGGCUAGGACAAGAAAAUACGUUUUUAUUGAAAAACGCCC